GCAUGGCGGGCGGACUCACCCCUCUGAAACUAUACGCCCGAACAAACGCUUCCAAGACCUUGAUUCCUGACCACUUGUGGGCCCGACCUACUAGAACGUUCCCUCCUUUUGUGGAAAGACUUCAGCUACCAGCAAUGGGCAUGUUCCCUGGGGGGAUGGGGAGUACUGAACUCUGCAUCCAUCCUUAGUGGUGGCCUGACCGUGGCCCAGUAGGCUCUGGGGCAAACAAAAGCUUGAAGCCAGCUCUGGCCUGGCUGGAAAGGAAGACAUACACACAGGAAGUCCCGAGCAAGGCGGGACAGGAUGUGCUGUCCACCGUCAUCAGCUCUUUCUUACCCUCCGCCCGUCUCUGCUGGAUCAUGUUCUGCUUUGCAGGCCAAUGGACUGUGUCAGAGAUUAGAAUUCUUUAAUAAAUAAUUCUUUCGUUGAUUCUC